GUAAGAAAUGAAUUUCAAUUCAUUAAAAAUUCCUAAUUACAAUUGGGCUAAAGCCAUUUAAAUUGAAAUUAAGAAAAUAAAAAGCCUAAAAAGCUAAGCAGGCAAGGGAGGGAAAUGAGCACCAACAAAGGGAAUGAUGGCAUUGGUCUACUGCUUUAGAAGUUUCGUUAUACCCUCCAGCUUCAUCUUGAAGUUUGAUCACAUGCUGCCUCCGUGGGAGUCUAAGGUUCUCCCUCUUCCAAAAAUUCUGACCUCAACUCUGUGGUGUUGAAAAUUGAGUGUACCUCAAUCUAUUUCGCCAUCUUGAUGUAAGCAAACUUCCUUCAAUAUCUGUCGAAGCUCUGAUACUCUUUAUUAAGUUAAACAUGGCUGUAUACUGCUUCACAACAUAUUUGCCAGCAGAUUGGGCUUCUUCCCUAACACAUUCCAUCUCUUCAGUAAGGCCAGCAGCUCCGGAGUUAAGCUUUCCCACCCAUUGGUUCAACACAGCAUUCUCUUUAUUUGACCUCUCCAAGGCCUUGGUAGCCAAUUUUUGAUAAGCAUCAGAAGUCUCCACUCACUUGGUCAAAGAAGUCACUCCACUCUGGAAUAAGUGGAUUUCUUCUUUAAAUUUUCAAUCUCUGUAGGGCAGAGGCAACCUUUACGGACUCCUCGGCUUACUACUUUUUUACGGCCUCAAAAUCGGCCUUACUUUCUUGGCCUCUUCCUCAUCCUUGGAGGUCUUAUUAAAAAAUUCCUUAUUUUUCUUCUGAUGUUUUUAUAGGGGACUUCAAUCUCUAUGGCAAUUCCAAAUGCCUUUCGUGUUUGGCUUAUCAUUGUAGCAAAAAUGUCAGCCGAAUCACUGGACUCGGCAAAGGUCUUCCAUCUAUCCCUUCAAUGCUUGUGAAAUGUGGCAGUAGCCAUUUUGGACCUUUGGAGAUAGUAUGGAUGAGCCUUUGAAACUAGUUUAUCAUUCAUCUUUGACAAGGAGAGCUUCGUCUGGUGAUGUGCCACACCCAAAAUAGUUGAGGUAUCAUUCGACACUCUCCCUUUAUUUGAAAACUUUUGCCUCUGAUGCUCCAAUGAAGAUGGCCUCUUCUAUCCCUCCUCAUUACAGCGAUAAAUGCUGCCAUCAACUUCUCUCCUACAGGAACUUCAAAUCGAGGGGGCAGAUUCAUAGUAGAUCCUCUCUCAGGUAGAAGAGAAUAUAAAUUUUUUUGGGGACCUUAUCCACCCUAUUCUUCCCAUUGUGCUUUGAAGGGGGUCAUCUGUCACCUUCACGGUCAGUAGUUUCCUUGCUAGCCUUUUCCACUCUGUCCAUCACCUGCUUGGCAGCAGCAAGUAAGGGCUUAAACCUUCUUCCCAACCAUGGAGGUCGUGGCUAGGAUGGAAGCAAUGUUUGGGGUUGAGUACUUCAUCUUUUCAAAAUUUUCUGCAAACGAAAGGAAAACAUGAUCAGUAUAAAUGUUACUCUACAAACAGUAAGGAAAAUUUUUAAGUGUUGCCUCUUAAAUAAACGAUGAGCAACGAUCAACCGUUUGAACUUUUGAGAAGAUAAAGGACGAAGGUAGAUGUCUUCUACAACACCCUACUUCGCCUGCAUAUAUUUGAUGCGAU
rnacentral:lncRNA from 1 species